GACGAACGCUGGCGGCGUGCUUAACACAUGCAGGUCGAACGGAAAGGCCCUGCUUUUGUGGGGUGCUCGAGUGGCGAACGGGUGAGUAACACGUGAGUAACCUGCCCUUGACUUUGGGAUAACUUCAGGAAACUGGGGCUAAUACCGGAUAGGAGCUCCUGCUGCAUGGUGCGGGUUGGAAAGUUUCGGCGGUUGGGGAUGGACUCGCGGCUUAUCAGCUUGUUGGUGGGGUAGUGGCUUACCAAGGCUUUGACGGGUAGCCGGCCUGAGAGGGUGACCGGCCACAUUGGGACUGAGAUACGGCCCAGACUCCUACGGGAGGCAGCAGUGGGGAAUAUUGCACAAUGGGCGGAAGCCUGAUGCAGCAACGCCGCGUGCGGGAUGACGGCCUUCGGGUUGUAAACCGCUUUCGCCUGUGACGAAGCGUGAGUGACGGUAAUGGGUAAAGAAGCACCGGCUAACUACGUG
rnacentral:rRNA from 1 species